GCACAAGCGGUGGAGUAUGUGGUUUAAUUCGGCGCAACGCGCAGAACCUUACCUAGACUUGACAUCCCGGGGAUUUUCUGGAAACAGAGAAGUGCUUUAGCAAUAAAGAACCCGGUGACAGGUGCUGCAUGGCUGUCGUCAGCUCGUGUCGUGAGAUGUUGGGUUAAGUCCCGCAACGAGCGCAACCCUCGCCUUUAGUUGCCAGCAUUCAGUUGGGCACUCUAGCGAGACUGCCGGUAAUAAACCGGAGGAAGGUGGGAUGACGUCAAAUCAUCAUGCCCCUUAUGACCUGGGCUACACACGUGCUACAAUGGUUGGUACAACGAGUUGCGAGUCGGUGACGGCGAGCUAAUCUCUUAAAGCCAAUCUCAGUUCGGAUUGUAGGCUGCAACUCGCCUACAUGAAGUCGGAAUCGCUAGUAAUCGCGGAUCAGCACGCCGCGGUCGAAUACGUUCCCGGGCCUU
rnacentral:rRNA from 1 species